rnacentral:rRNA from 1 species
AGCAGCCGCGGUAAUUCCAGCUCCAAUAGCGUAUAUUAAAGUUGUUGCAGUUAAAAAGCUCGUAGUUGAAUUUCGGGAUCAAUAUGUUGGUCGUGCCUUGGUACGUACUGGCAUUAUCGAUUCCUACCUUCUGAAGAACCUCGAUGUCAUUAAUUUGGUGUCUUGGGGAAUCAGGACUGUUACUUUGAAAAAUUAGAGUGUUUAAAGCAGGCUCGCGCUUGAAUACAUUAGCAUGGAAUAAUGAAAUAGGACGUUUGAUUCUAUUUUGUUGGUUUCUAGGAUCGACGUAAUGAUUAAUAGGGAUAGUUGGGGGCAUUAGUAUUCAAUUGUCAGAGGUGAAAUUCUUGGAUUUAUUGAAGACUAACUACUGCGAAAGCAUUUGCCAAGGAUGUUUUCAUUAAUCAAGAACGAAAGUUAGGGGAUCGAAGACGAUCAGAUACCGUCGUAGUCUUAACCAU